rnacentral:rRNA from 1 species
UACGUAGGGUGCAAGCGUUGUCCGGAAUUAUUGGGCGUAAAGAGCUCGUAGGCGGUCUGUCGCGUCGGCUGUGAAAACUCGGGGCUCAACUCCGAGCUUGCAGUCGAUACGGGCAGGCUAGAGUUCGGCAGGGGAGACUGGAAUUCCUGGUGUAGCGGUGAAAUGCGUAGAUAUCAGGAGGAACACCGAUGGCGAAGGCAGGUCUCUGGGCUGACACUGACCGCUCAUGCACGAAAGCGUGGGGAGCAAACAGG